UACAGAGGGUGCGAGCGUUAAUCGGAAUUACUGGGCGUAAAGCGCGCGUAGGCGGCUUUGCAAGUCGGGUGUGAAAUCCCCAGGCUUAACCUGGGAACUGCAUUCGAGACUGCAUUGCUAGAGUAUGGGAGAGGGAAGUGGAAUUUCCGGUGUAGCGGUGAAAUGCGUAGAUAUCGGAAGGAACAUCAGUGGCGAAAGCGCUCUGCUGGACCAUAACUGACACUCAGGGACGAAAGCUAGGGGAGCGAAUGGG
rnacentral:rRNA from 1 species